rnacentral:rRNA from 1 species
AUGAAUGCUGGCGGCGUGGAUAAGGCAUGCAAGUCAAGGGGGCCGCAAGGCAACCGGCAGACGAGGUAGUAACACGUAGGUAGAUCCCCAGAAGUCGGGCAUAGCCGGUCGAAAGACCGGGUAAUUCCCGAUAGUCCCGAAAGGGUAAAGGUUUUUCGCUUCUGGAGUCGCCUGCGCAGUAUCAGCUAGUUGGUAGGGUAACGGCCUACCAAGGCUACGACGCUUAGGGGAGCUGAGAGGCUGACCCCCACCGAUGGGACUGAGAGACGGCCCAUACUCCUACGGGAGGCCGCAGUCAAGAAACUUCCACAAUGGACGAAAGUCUGAUGGAGCGACACCGCGUGUUGGACGAAGUGCUUCGGUACGUAAACAACUUUUAUCGGGGACGAAAUUAUUGACGGUACCCGAUGAAUAAGGGGCUCCUAACUCUGUGCCAGCAGGAGCGGUAAUACAGAGGCCCCAAGCAUUAUCCGGAAUCACUGGGCGUAAAGGGUGUCGAGGCGGUCGUAUUAGUCCUUCGUAAGAUCUACGAGCUUAACUUGUAGCGGGCGAGGGAAACGGUACGACUUGAGGUUGGGAGAGGUGCGUGGAACUCACGGUGUAGGGGUGAAAUCCGUUGAUAUCGUGGGGAACACCAAAGGCGAAGGCAGCGCACUGGCCCAAAUCUGACGCUCACACACGAAAGCUAGGGUAGCGAACGGGAUUAGAUACCCCGGUAGUCCUAGCCCUAAACGCUGCUCGCUCGUUCUGCGGAGUAUCGACCCUCUGCGGGACUAAGCUAACGCGGUAAGCGAGCCGCCUGGGUAGUAGCGAGCGCAAGCUUAAAACUCAAAGGAAUAGACGGGGACCCGCACAAGCGGUGGAUUAUGUGGCUUAAUUCGUCGGCAAACGAAGAACCUUACCAAGGUUAGAAAUGCAGCUGCAUCUCAUCUGAAAGGAAGAGAGCCUUCGAGGGUGCUGCACAGGUGAUGCAUGGUCGUCGUCAGUUCGUGGUUUGAACUGUUCCCUUCAGUGGGGUAACGAACGCAACCCCCGUUGCCUGUUAUAUAUGUCAGGCGAGACUGCUCCCUCACGGGAGAGGAAGGUGGGGAUGACGCCAGAUCAGCAUGUCCCUCUGAUACCUUGGGCUGCACACAUAAUACAAUGGUCGGUACAAAGGGAUGCGAUACCGUAAGGUGGAGCAAAUCCCGAAAACCGUCCUCAGUACGGAUUGAGGUCUGCAACCGACCUCAUGAAGCUGGAAUCGCUAGUAAUCCUGGGUCAGCCAAACCAGGGUGAAUACGUUCUCGAGUCUUGUACUCACCGCCCGUCAACUCAAGGGAGCUGGGAGUGCCCAAAACUUUGCCUCGCGCAGAGCUACGGCAAGCUCAGUAACAGGGAGU